ensembl:lncRNA
CUGUCUGUAAUCCCAACUACACAGAAGACUGAGGCAGGAAGAUCGCUUGAGCCUGGGAAUUCGAGGCUGCAGUGAGCUAUGACCAUACCACUGCACUCAUGCCUGGGUGAGAGUGAGACCCUGUUUCUAAAAAGGAAAAAUAAAUAAAAAUACAAAUGAUCAGGUAACCAAAAGUUCCUGCUCUAAAGGUAAUGAACUCUCCAUCAUUACAAGCAUUCAAGUAAGGACUGAACAAAACCUGUCAGAGGUAUAAAAGGAGAUUCUUGCAAUGGGUCAGAGUUGGAUGUGACAACCCUGAGGUCCUUUUCCAUGUAGUUCACAGGUAUACACAUUUCCUCAACAAGGGACUAUGGCUCAAGAGCUCACGAAAGGGCUUUGUGACUAGUUAAAUACAACGCCCACACCCUGUGACUGCCCCUUACUUUCACACUGCUUGUCCUUCUCAAAGACCCCAUCUUGGUCUCCUCUCCACCACCACAUCUCAGCAGCUCAGGCUGUCCCAAGAGACUUGAGUGAAGACACAGGCACAAGGGACCCAGGGAGAACUGGCCAUUUGAUUUCCAACUCAGAGCUUGCAGUGCAAUUGGAGGGAGGAAGACGGGAUACAUGAUGGAACGAAAAAAUCAUUCUAUUUCCAUAAACCACAUGUGAAAAUCAGCCAGAUUUCUUACAUAUAAGUAGAAAAAGUAGUAAUCCAAGAUCCACACUCAACAACAGAUGAGUGGGGACAGGCAGAGGCACUCUGGGGACACUGAGGAAGGACAGUGUUGUUAAAAAUAAUAGAACUGGGUGCUGCAGUUCAGACUGUAAUCCCAGCACUUUGGGAGACUGAGGUGGGAGGAUUGCUUAAGUCCAGGAGUUCAAGACCAGCCUGGGCAACACAGUGAGACCCUAUCCUAUUAAAAAUAAUAAUAGGAGCUGACAAUAACACAAAAGUGGACAUUUCCAGAUAUGAUCAUAUUGUCCUUGUUUGGCCAGUGUCACCAGCAGCUGGGUCCCCAUUAUGGGGCCUGGGUGCCCAGGGAAGUUAAGAGGAGAUAAGCUCCCUCUGUUCCUGUACAUCUCUGCCCACCUCACCUCUGAAGAGAUUGUUAUAUCCUUGCUAUCUAUAAAAUAGGACAUUACAAUGUUUGUUAAAAAAAAAAAAAAAA